ensembl:snoRNA U8 U8 small nucleolar RNA
UCAUCAGGUAGAAUAAUCUUUCCCUGUCCCUCUAGUCAGAGGGCAGAUAGAACAUGAUGACUGGAGUCCGCAUGAUUUGUGAUUAAUGUCUCUGCAUGAUUCGGGCUCACAACACCCUAAUUGCUCCUAUCUGAU